GCGAGAUCACCCGCCGA
rnacentral:rRNA from 1 species